rnacentral:lncRNA from 1 species
UCGGGGGGAGAUCAUAUCCACUCCGGUACAGUAGUAGGUAAGUUAGAAGGGGAACGCGAAAUAACUUUAGGUUUUGUUGAUUUAUUGCGCGAUGAUUUUAUUGAAAAAGAUCGUUCUCGCGGUAUCUUUUUCACUCAGGACUGGGUAUCCAUGCCAGGUGUUAUACCGGUGGCUUCUGGGGGUAUUCAUGUUUGGCAUAUGCCAGCUCUGACCGAAAUCUUUGGAGAUGAUUCCGUAUUACAAUUUGGUGGAGGAACUUUAGGACAUCCUUGGGGAAAUGCACCUGGUGCAGCAGCUAAUCGUGUGGCUUUAGAAGCCUGUGUACAAGCUCGUAACGAAGGGCGCGAUCUUGCUCGUGA